CCCCAGGAGCAGCAGUCUGUUUACGCACUUACAAGCCCCCCUCCCCCACACACUGAAACCGGAAAACACACGCAAACACAAGUAAGCGACGAAAUCCGGCUCAGUGCCGACCACACCUUUCUCGCUCGCGUCUCCAGCUCGACUCUCUUUGGUUCCUUUCGAAUUUUGUACAGCCGGCUAGUCUUCUAACCUCUCUCGCUCUUUCUCUCUUCAUCUCCGGCUCGCAUCGGCACCCGCACUAUCACCCCACCGCACGGAAGACACUCCGAAGGGGCAGCUUCUCAGCCCCGCCCGCUUCUGCCUCCCAGGACACCGCUUUACCUGUGAGUAUUGCUCUUUCCACGUCUUCGCCCGUGAGGGUUGCCCAAAAGCCUUCACCCUUCAUUGCGAUGAAGCGCUCGCCGUCACGCAUCAGAACUGCCGCGCUCCUGGUGGCCCUCCUGGCGCUGCUCGGCACGACAGCGGUGCGGGCGUACUCGGUCCGCUAUGCGGGCAGGACUUCCGCGAACGGCAUCAUGAACUUCGAGUCGUUGGGCUACUGCGCCCAGGAUGACUCAGGGCACUCGAUGAUGCCGAAGCUGCGGAGCUAUCAGCUAUCUGCCGAAGAUGUGAUGUUGGCGAACAGGUUCGACAUGGCCCCGAUCGGUGGUGAGUCGCGCCAGUCUGCCUGCCUCAGCGAAAAUUGCACGUGGCAGUUCAACCACGGCUUGCACUACCGCAACGAGUUAACGUUCUUCUAUGGAGUCGUGUACAAGGACACCCUGCGCGGUGGCCCGGUCGAAGGCGUGUACAACAACUUUGCCCCUGGCCAGCCGCUCUGGUGGGGUAACGCCAGCUACUGGGGCGGCCGCCAGCCGUACAUGGCGAGCAACGGCGAGUGGAGGAACGGCAACGUGGUCACGUACUACACGCAGUGGGUGUGCGAGUACUACGAGUACCAACACUCGGAUGCGUCCAUCUUCCCUACCUACCCGGACGGUGACGUCAUCACGGAGCAUUUUGCCGGCGGCUACUACCACUGCGGCAGGUUGGUGGAGCGCGACUCACAGGGUCGCUGGAUCUACCAACGCUGCAAGGAGCCGUUCCCAUGGUGGGCCGGUCUCGUCAUCGCCGUCAUCAGCCUCAUCGCGGUGGUCGUCAUCAUAAUAGCAAUCUGCUGUUGGGCCUUUUACUGCAAGCGCACGAAGGAUUCCAAGGAGCGGAUGCAAAAACUGGAGACGCUGGCUGACAACCCGGCGCAUGUGCCGACUCAGACACAGGUGGGCCUGAGCCGCACUCCGCUCUACAACGGCGGCGAUCAGUCGAUCCAUGAUGAGUACUCCGAUGCGGAAGCCGAAGUAGGUGCGCACUAGCGUGCGUGAGGGCGUGCGGGAGAAGAGGUUUGACCUUCACCUCCGCCUCUCCUUUCCCAUGUGCACACGCCUACCUGUGCUUCGACCCCCGUGCAUGUGUGCUUACGCAUGUAUGUGCAUGUGUGCGAGCAUGUAUUGCCCCUCCCCCUCUUCUACCGCACGUGUGCUUCAUGCUUCGAUUUAUGUGCACACGCACACAUAAAUAUAUGUAUACGCUAUAUAUGUGCAUAUGCCUAAAUAGAAUUUUUUAGUUUGUUGUUGUUGGAACUCCUUCAAAGCCGCUCAUUCCUCUCCCUCUUCUCCUCUUCCGUCAUCAUCUCGGACUCGUCCUCUCCCCUGCCCCACCCCCUACCCUGCUCACCGACUCUCUACUUCCGCUUUUCUCGUUUCGCAGAGACGAGGCAUGUGUCCCGCACACUCGGCUCUGACGCAGGUCGGCAAACGCGUCGCGACGUGCGGGUUUGUCAGGGCACUCGCAAAGGAGAGCGAAGAGAGGCGGGGAGAGCGAGAAGAUACUUGGCCGAUGUGCCUCUCAUGUGUGUUCGUGUAUCUUGAGUUGUUUUUGUGGCCCUUUUCUUGAAGUCCCUCCCCUCCCUGCCUUCCUCCGACGAUAUAACUAUCUCUCUUUGUGUUUAUGUGUCUUCUGCCGUUGUUUCUGGCUCCGCGUGGGGCGCGCAUCCUUUCGUUUCGUUUUUGUUGUUGUCCUCUUCACGCUCUGCUCGGCGCCUCUUCCCUUUUCCGUGUGCUCGUGUGAGCCUGUGUGUGCUUGUGGGCUAUCUCUGUCGGGCUCCUCUCCACGGACAGACACACGCACACAGAACAUAUGCACACAGACACAUAGACCGCACGCAUGUCCACCAUGACGGCCCCAUCAGCUUCCCUUUUCCCCUCCACGCGACAAGCACCGCGGUCUUGUGUGUGUGUGUGUGUGCAUCUCGUCUCUUUUUCUUUGCGUAUAUAUCUUUUUCGAGGGCAGGGCCGGAGGGCGUGAAUGGCACGGACUGUAUGUGCCGUUCCUACCUCACAGCGAACCUUCUCGUCCCGUCUUCUCCAUCACGCGACUUCCUUGUUUCUCAUUCGCCUUUUUUCCCCUCCCUCCGCGUCGGUGACUGUGACAUCCGCAUAGGCGUCUGUACGCACUGGCAGGUGAGGGGAAGCAUGGCUCGGUGUCCGGGAGCCCUCCGCAGACGGCGAAAGUGUGGGAGCUGUGCGAGGUACAGCCAGGUGGUGGACCGAGACAGAGACGGCAACGCUUAUAUGUGCUCGGCUCUGCUGCGCCGCCUCGUUGUUUGCGCACAUGGCGGUUUGCCUUCUUCGUUCCAGCGAAGACAUUCUGCACGUCUUUGUUCUGUGACGUUCCCUCACGCGAAAGGCAAUGUCGCUGUCGCUGCUGCUGUCGCUACCGCCUCACACUGACUCAGCUUCCUCCCCGCCCUCUUGUCCCAUUCCACGAGCUGCUUUGGUCUUCCAGCGCGCCCUUCGCUGCAGGCGAAGCGAGACGCGGAUUCCUGAAGAGGGAAGACUACCGACUUUCACAGUUGCUGCGCCCUUACGUGUGUGAGACUCCCUUUGGGACGCUGGUGAGGUGGCCGGCGGUGGGCGUGAGCAUCGGCGGUGGCGGCCGUGCGCAGUGAUAGUGUUUUUCGCCGCUUCAGCGAGGUCGGCCGUACCAGAGUAUUGACCGUCCAAGGAAGAAAGGCGAAGACGAGGGGAUGUCAUGUUGCACCGAAAGCUGUUGCACAACACGUGCACAUACACUCACACGCAAAGCCACACUCCGAGUCCGUGAGACGUGUGUGUGUAUGUGACUGCAUCGAGCUUGCAGCUGUAGCUGCGCCGUUGCGCGUGCGUGUACGCUUAUGCGCAUGUAUCUCUGUGAAGUGCCGCUUUCGGUGGGAGACAUGGUUUUCUUCCCCUUUUCGUAUACUCGUGUCGGCUGUCUGUCCUGUAUAUUUUUGCGAGUUUGAGUGCCCGUACACAAUCCGCCGCCCUCCGUGUGUCUGUGCCUGUGCGCUUUCUGGGCGUAGAAGGCAUGAAUUCCUCCUUCGGAGGACUUGGCCCUCUGUCGCUGCGCUGCGAUGGCUCGUUCUUUGACUCCUUCCUCUCUAUCUUUCCUUUUCUCUGGUGCGCAUUUUAUCAUUUUCUUUCGCUGUUGGGUUUGCGCACGCCUCGGCGCUUCACGUUGUGUUGGCAUUCACUUCCUGUAUGUAUGCGUGUAGGGACACGUGCACGUCAUGAUGGGUCGGUGCCCCUCAUCAUAGUCGCCACGCGCUGGUGAGGGGUUGGGUUGGGUGGGGAUUGCACAGCGUUAGCCAAAAAAAAAUACAGGGAGGUCUCGCGCUUCAGCUGUUUGCGUCACGCAGACGAACAGAGACACACACCCAUCAAUCGGUGAUGCCGAGAAACACGUGCACGAGUCUCUCUGUGACCACUGCCCCCUACCUCUCUCUUUCUCUGUCUGUGUGCUGAAGACGUUCCGUGCAGAUGCCAUCCACCUCCCUCCACCCAUUAAACCCAUCGACAUGUAAACUUGUUCUUUCUUUCGAUACUCCCCUGUCCUUCCUGUCCUCCCCAUUCUCGGCGCUCUCGUUGUGAUUUUGUUUCUUGGUUCUUCUCCUGCCCUCUUUUUUGCCUUCAUCCCCACCACCCCUUGUCGCCUCUCCGCACGGUCUUUUCAGUCCCUCGACUCUUCCUGCCCCACCCUUCUGUACCAGCCCCCCCCCCACUCCCAGGUGCCACACCUACAUGUGCCCAAAGGCCUCACGCGUGCGUCUGUGUGUGUGUCUCUCUAUGUGUUCGCCCAUGUCCCUGCCGUUGUGAUGCAGCGCACGGCGCCCCGCACCACGCUAGGGAACAGCGAGGCGCAGAAAGCCCCGAAAAGAAAAAAAGG
rnacentral:misc_RNA from 1 species